UCAAAGAAAGGGCUGUAACCACU
rnacentral:piRNA from 1 species